GCAAAUGAGCACCCAAAAAUCCUCCCUCUCGCCCCCCACGGCGCCCACGAAGGACUGACGUCGCAACAUCCCCGUUUAGACCGAAGCUCCCCGUGAACCAGCGCGUGCAGCUCAGUCAACCAAUAACUGCCCAGCUGGACUUCCGCCUUCCCUCUGACGUGUGAGCAACACGGCCGGCAGCUUUAAUUUUAGCCUCCUGUGCCUUUGUUUGCCAGUUAGCGCCACCGCCGCGUUGCUUUUGGCUCAUUCAGGAUGAACUGUCACAGAGACGCUGUGAAAACCGCUGGGACAGAGGAGCUACUUUGACCCGGGCGCGGCCGCUGCUUUUACCGUGUUUACACAAGCUAGAAAUGUGCUGAUGGACUCCGGCCACGGCGGGGACAGGAGGCGGCCGAAACCCAGCGGCCAGCUGCCGUGUGAAGGCAAACAUUGUUUGUGGAGGUGGUCAAAGGUCUCAUAUUAACAGGUGGGCAGAUAAUGCGAACCAGGAGGGAGGUCAUCCCAGGCUCAUUCACACCGCCGCGGAGGAGAAACGACCGUGGAGCGCGGGAUUGAGAUUACUGGGAUUGAAGCUGGCACUUCACAGUCCUCCAAAGCUCCGGGGACGGGGCCAGACUCCAGGUGUCCUCUGCGGGUGGAGGUGUGGAAGCUCCACUUCCUCUCGGCCCGGCAGCAGGAGACCAAUUAGGAAAGAAAAUGAAAGACUUUUUUUUUAAAAACCUUUCUUUCAUCUCCUUAUCUUUCCUUCCUAUCUGUUUUCCUCAAGGUUGAAUAAUGAAAAACCAAGACAGACUUCUGCUUUCAUGUGACGUGUGGAUGAUUCUCCACACGCAGCAGAUAAGAGUUGGAUACUGCAUUCUUGUAUGACAGAAAAAGGGAAGCAUAAAGUUGCAACAAUACAUUAAAUAAUUGGCUUUCAUACAUAAAAAAAGUCUUCACAUAGAAAAGCUUGUCCUAAUUUGACAACAAACCGCUGAAAAGAUUCUAGAUUUGAGAUUAAGUACUAUCUUUUUUGGUUGAGAUUAUUUUUUAUAAGAUUAAGUUAAUAAUUACUAUAUAAAGAUUACUUAAUAAUUAGUAGAUAAUCUUUUACAUUCGGAAAGUGAUAUCUAAAGAACAAUACUGAUUAAUGAACUAAUUUACUACUAUUAUACAAAAUGCCUUGGAAACAUACUCACACCUUUUAAACUUUUCCCACAAUUAUCCCAUUACAGGCAUAAACUUUAAUGUGUUUUACUGGGAUUCUGAGUAACACAUCAACACAAGGUAAAGGAAAGUAGUAAAUGUUUAUUAAAUUAAAUAAAAUUUGACUAAAUGUAAUAUUUGUUGCUGGUUUGAUAACUGGCACAGGACGUUUUUAUGAUGUAAAACUUUGAACUGGAACUGAAAUGCUCUGUACAAAUAAACUUGACUUAAAAUUUGUAAAAAUUUGAAAA